UACGUAGGGUGCGAGCGUUAAUCGGAAUUACUGGGCGUAAAGCGUGCGCAGGCGGUGAUGUAAGACAGAUGUGAAAUCCCCGGGCUCAACCUGGGAACUGCAUUUGUGACUGCAUCGCUGGAGUGCGGCAGAGGGGGAUGGAAUUCCGCGUGUAGCAGUGAAAUGCGUAGAUAUCUGGAGGAACACCGGUGGCGAAGGCGACAUCCUGGACCGGUAUUGACGCUGAGGCGCGAAAGCCAGGGGAGCAAACGGG
rnacentral:rRNA from 1 species